rnacentral:lncRNA from 1 species
GGUAUGCAAAUAUAAGAUUGUGUGGAACCAUGAUCUAUUAAAGCAUGAACAGACCGGCCAAAGAUAGAAAAUAUACCCAUGAUGACAUCUGGGGAAUCCUGAUCCUCUCUAGCUUUGAUGGCAUAGGCUCUGGCAGGUGCUCUAGAUUUCGGUCUAUCCACAGUCUCUGACACUCUUUGACUAGAGGUACCUGUCGGCUCACUUCUACCUUUGCUUCUGGUCUUUUGAGUUACUGGUGCAGUUCUUUCUGUUGCUGGUGCUGAGGCUGUCUGCUUCUUAGGACAAUCCCUCAUAAUGUGAUCCAUAGAGCCACAUAUGAAACAAGCUCCUGUCAGCAAUCUGCAAGUACCAGUAUGUCUCCU